AUUGAACGCUGGCGGCAGGCCUAACACAUGCAAGUCGAGCGGAUGAAGGGAGCUUGCUCCUGGAUUCAGCGGCGGACGGGUGAGUAAUGCCUAGGAAUCUGCCUGGUAGUGGGGGAUAACGUCCGGAAACGGGCGCUAAUACCGCAUACGUCCUGAGGGAGAAAGUGGGGGAUCUUCGGACCUCACGCUAUCAGAUGAGCCUAGGUCGGAUUAGCUAGUUGGUGGGGUAAAGGCCUACCAAGGCGACGAUCCGUAACUGGUCUGAGAGGAUGAUCAGUCACACGGGAACUGAGACGCGGUCCAGACUCCUACGGGAGGCAGCAGUGGGGAAUAUUGGACAAUGGGCGAAAGCCUGAUCCAGCCAUGCCGCGUGUGUGAAGAAGGUCUUCGGAUUGUAAAGCACUUUAAGUUGGGAGGAAGGGCAGUAAGUUAAUACCUUGCUGUUUUGACGUUACCAACAGAAUAAGCACCGGCUAACUUCGUG
rnacentral:rRNA from 1 species